GCCGGGAUGGCGGAACUGGCAGACGCAGCGGACUCAAAAUCCGCCGAUCGCAAGGUCAUGGGGGUUCGAUUCCCCCUCCCGGCACCA
rnacentral:tRNA from 1 species